rnacentral:rRNA from 1 species
UACGUAGGGGGCAAGCGUUGUCCGGAUUUAUUGGGCGUAAAGAGCGUGUAGGCGGUUAGGUAGGUCCGUUGUGAAAACUCGAGGCUCAACCUCGAGACGCCGAUGGAAACCAUCUGACUAGAGUCCGGAAGAGGAGUGUGGAAUUCCCGGUGUAGCGGUGAAAUGCGCAGAUAUCGGGAAGAACACCCGUGGCGAAGGCGGCACUCUGGGACGGUACUGACGCUGAGACGCGAAAGCGUGGGGAGCGAACAGG